AAUGAACGUUGGCGGCAUGGAUUAGGCAUGCAAGUCGCGCGAUAAGAUUCCUUCGGGAAUCCGAAAGCGGCGAAAGGGAGAGUAACGCGUAGAUGAUCUACCCCGAGGACUGGGAUAGCGGCGGGAAACUGCCGGUAAUACCAGAUGAUGUCUCCGGACCAAAGGUGUGAUUCCGCCUUGGGAUGAAUCUGCGUCCUAUUAGCUAGUUGGUGAGGUAACGGCUCACCAAGGCGAAGUUGGGUACCGGGUGUGAGAGCAUGACCCGGCUCACUGGGACUGAGACACUGCCCAGACACCUACGGGUGGCUGCAGUCGAGAAUCUUCGGCAAUGGGCGAAAGCCUGACCGAGCAAUGCCGCGUGCGGGAUGAAGGCCUUCGGUCGUAAGACGUCUGU
rnacentral:rRNA from 1 species